GGGCAGUAGUCAGGGCAGCUGCUUUGCGCCAGGCCUUGCGCUCUGUGCGGCAGGGAGAAGCUGGGCCCAGGAGCAGGAAACAGGCUGUUUGCCCAAACUCGGAAGCAUUUUGCCGCAGCAAGGAGUGGAGAUUGCUGCUGAGCAGUUGAUGAACACAUCAGGGCAAAGAAUGAGAAGAUUAAUUUCAUUGAGUUAUAUUGGUGCAAUGAAAUCAAAAAAUCUCAAGAUGAGGCGGAUCUAUUUCUGCCCCAUUGCCCUACAGCUCCACCAUUGCAAACUUGGUAUCUAACGUCAGAAUAACCACCAGCGUGGGGUGAGUCUGCCAUAUCCCUCAACAGUUUGUCCUGAAUCUGGUAUUCUCAGCUGUGAGCCACUGAGGCCAGGUGACAAAUACAAAAAC